CACCACAGCACAGCCCCUACUACUCACUAGCCCGGUCGGCGAUGCGGUAUGAUAAGUCGUGUUGAGUGAAUCAUUUCAGCGCAGCCCAGUGUUCGCAGGUGUAGCUCACAAAUUUUCAGAUUGAACGAAAGCGACAUUUUAGCAAUAACACAGAAUGUGCCUCGAGCUACUGAAGUUCCUUCUAGCCUUGUGUGAUAAGUCGUGUUGAGUGAAUCAUUUCAGCGCAGCCCAGUGUUCGCAGGUGUAGCUCACAAAUUUUCAGAUUGAACGAAAGCGACAUGUUAGCAAUAACACAGAAUGUGCCUCGAGCUACUGAAGUUCCUUCUGGCCUUGUGUGAUAAGUCGUGUUGAGUGAAUCAAUUCAGCGCAGCCCACUGUUCGCAGGUGUAGUGUUCGCAGGUACUAGUGCAGCUCACAAAUUUUCAGAUUGAACGAAAGCGACAUUUUAGGGAUAACACAGAAUGUGCCGCGAACUACUGAAGUUCCUUCUGUCCUUAUGUCUUAUAAAUAUUGAGGAUGUGCGACCCGAGACUAAAUACAUGUUGAACGUUCGUCGUAGCCAUCCACUUGUUUCUUCAACGUAGUGAGCAGUGUAUAUGUAUACCAUUUCAGUUCGGCCUGCUACAAUGCUUCGUUGGCUGUGCAAACUCUGGUCUUUUCCUGCCGGCCUGCGGCAUUUACUUCUUCUUGUCGGACUAUGCCAGUUGCUAUUCACGGUCAGUGCUUGUGCGGCGGACACAGACGAGACUGCCCCGUCAAGGCAACAUUCGCUCAGCGACGACAUCGUGCACGGCAUCGUUCUCGCGACCACUACGAUCAACUUCGCACUGGCGAUGAAUUGCCUUCGUGUACGGGGGAGGCUCGUGGUACGUUUUCUACCGUCUCUCCUGGUCGCCGCUGUUGGCUGUGCUGCGAUAUCGUUCUACAGCCACGACGUGCUUCAAUAUCAGUUUACCUAUCUAGUUCUGAAUUUGCUGAUCUAUUAUCAAGGACAUGACGCGUAAGUGAAUUAUGAAUAGAAAUUCAACUACCGCCCGAGUUCUUGAGCUGAUCCAACUAGUUACUUGAUUCUAUCUGGGUGCGUUUUGGAUACUCUCUGCAGCUGUACGCAGAUUAUGUGAAUGAGCAAACGGUUUUGUAUUGCCCGCCGUAUCUUAUCCAUACUUGUUUUGCACUCGAAACCCAUGUAGUGUCCAAAUAAUUCAACAAUGUAGUCGUUUAGUACGUCUUGGUCUCUGUCUCUCCGUCUUCCCAAUCAAUGUUGUUCGACCUAAGCUGUUCCCGUUUUCCAUUGUAAUGUCUUUCUGUUCCUACUCAAGAUGCUCAUAGGUCAAUUUCGACUGAUGAAGCUGCUUGUUGCGUCCUAAAAGAUUUCCUUAAAAUUAUUAUAGCAAUAAUAAGGAUCAACCGUGCACUCAUUCUAUAAACACAUAGAGGCAAAGUUGCUGAGUAA